rnacentral:rRNA from 1 species
GACGAACGCUGGCGGCGUGCCUAAUACAUGCAAGUCGAGCGAGCUUGCCUAGAUGAUUUUAGUGCUUGCACUAAAUGAAACUAGAUACAAGCGAGCGGCGGACGGGUGAGUAACACGUGGGUAACCUGCCCAAGAGACUGGGAUAACACCUGGAAACAGAUGCUAAUACCGGAUAACAACACUAGACGCAUGUCUAGAGUUUGAAAGAUGGUUCUGCUAUCACUCUUGGAUGGACCUGCGGUGCAUUAGCUAGUUGGUAAGGUAACGGCUUACCAAGGCAAUGAUGCAUAGCCGAGUUGAGAGACUGAUCGGCCACAAUGGAACUGAGACACGGUCCAU